GCGCCUGUAGCUCAGCGGAUAGAGCGCAGCCCUGCGGAGGCUGAGGCCACUGGUUCGAAUCCAGUCAGGCGUACCA
rnacentral:tRNA from 1 species